rnacentral:rRNA from 1 species
AACGAACGCUGGCGGCAGGCUUAACACAUGCAAGUCGAACGCCCCGCAAGGGGAGUGGCAGACGGGUGAGUAACGCGUGGGAAUCUACCCAUCCCUACGGAACAACUCCGGGAAACUGGAGCUAAUACCGUAUACGCCCUACGGGGGAAAGAUUUAUCGGGGAUGGAUGAGCCCGCGUUGGAUUAGCUAGUUGGUGGGGUAAAGGCCUACCAAGGCGACGAUCCAUAGCUGGUCUGAGAGGAUGAUCAGCCACAUUGGGACUGAGACACGGCCCAAACUCCUACGGGAGGCAGCAGUGGGGAAUAUUGGACAAUGGGCGCAAGCCUGAUCCAGCCAUGCCGCGUGAGUGAUGAAGGUCUUAGGAUUGUAAAGCUCCUUCACCGAUGGAGAUAAUGACGGUAGUCGGAGAAGAAGCCCCGGCUAACUUCGUGCCAGCCGCCGCCGUAAGAC